GAGUUUGAUCCUGGCUCAGGAUGAACGCUAGCUACAGGCUUAACACAUGCAAGUCGAGGGGCAGCAUAAAGAUUGCUUGCAAUUUUUGAUGGCGACCGGCGCACGGGUGAGUAACGCGUAUCCAACCUACCUAUGACAUAGGGAUAAUCCGGCGAAAGUCGGCCUAAUACCUUAUAUAGUUUAUCGUUGGCAUCUUCUAUGAACAAAAGAUUUAUCGGUUAUAGAUGGGGAUGCGUCUGRKUGGGUUGUUGGCGGGGUAACGGCCCACCAAGGCAUCGAUCAGUAGGGGUUCUGAGAGGAAGGUCCCCCACAUUGGAACUGAGACACGGUCCAAACUCCUACGGGAGGCAGCAGUGAGGAAUAUUGGUCAAUGGGCGUAAGCCUGAACCAGCCAAGUAGCGUGCAGGACGACUGCCCUAUGGGUUGUAAACUGCUUUUAUGCGGGGAUAAAUGAUAUCACGUGUGAUGUUUUGCAGGUACCGCAUGAAUAAGGACCGGCUAAUUCCGUGCCAGCAGCCGCGGUAAUACGGAAGGUCCUAGCGUUAUCCGGAUUUAUUGGGUUUAAAGGGAGCGUAGGCCGUUUUAUAAGCGUGUUGUGAAAUGUACGGGCUCAACCUGUGAUUUGCAGCGCGAACUGUAUGACUUGAGUACGUUGGAAGUAGGCGGAAUUCGUGGUGUAGCGGUGAAAUGCUUAGAUAUCACGAAGAACUCCGAUUGCGAAGGCAGCCUACUGUGUCGUAACUGACGCUGANGCUCGAAAGUGCGGGUAUCGAACAGGAUUAGAUACCCUGGUAGUCCGCACGGUAAACGAUGGAUGCUCGCUGUCCGGUCUUUUGGCUGGGUGGCCCAGCGAAAGCGUUAAGCAUCCCACCUGGGGAGUACGCCGGCAACGGUGAAACUCAAAGGAAUUGACGGGGGCCCGCACAAGCGGAGGAACAUGUGGUUUAAUUCGAUGAUACGCGAGGAACCUUACCCGGGCUUGAAUUGCAGAGGAAAGAUCCAGAGAUGGUGAUGCCCUUCGGGGCCUCUGUGAAGGUGCUGCAUGGUUGUCGUCAGCUCGUGCCGUGAGGUGUCGGCUUAAGUGCCAUAACGAGCGCAACCCCUUUUCUUAGUUGCCAUCAGUAUUAGCUGGGCACUCUGAGAAUACUGCCACCGUAAGGUGUGAGGAAGGUGGGGAUGACGUCAAAUCAGCACGGCCCUUACGUCCGGGGCUACACACGUGUUACAAUGGCGCAUACAGAGAGUCGGUGUUAUGCAAAUAUCAUCUAAUCUUCAAAUUGCGUCUCAGUUCGGACUGGGGUCUGCAACUCGACCCCACGAAGCUGGAUUCGCUAGUAAUCGCGCAUCAGCCAUGGCGCGGUGAAUACGUUCCCGGGCCUUGUACACACCGCCCGUCAAGCCAUGAAAGCUGGGGGUGCCUGAAGUCCGUGACCGCGAGGAUCGGCCUAGGGCAAAACCGGUGAUUGGGGCUAAGUCGUAACAAGGUAGCCGUACCGGAAGGUGC
rnacentral:rRNA from 1 species